AACGAACGCUGGCGGCAGGCUUAACACAUGCAAGUCGAACGCCCCGCAAGGGGAGUGGCAGACGGGUGAGUAACGCGUGGGAAUCUACCCAGUUCUACGGAACAACUGAGGGAAACUUCAGCUAAUACCGUAUACGCCCUACGGGGGAAAGAUUUAUCGGAAUUGGAUGAGCCCGCGCUAGAUUAGCUAGUUGGUGGGGUAAUGGCCUACCAAGGCGACGAUCUAUAGCUGGUCUGAGAGGAUGAUCAGCCACACUGGGACUGAGACACGGCCCAGACUCCUACGGGAGGCAGCAGUGGGGAAUAUUGGACAAUGGGCGCAAGCCUGAUCCAGCCAUGCCGCGUGAGUGAUGAAGGCCUUAGGGUUGUAAAGCUCUUUCAGUGGGGACGAUAAUGACGGUACCCACAGAAGAAGCCCCGGCUAACUUCGUGCCAGCAGCCGCCGUAAUAC
rnacentral:rRNA from 1 species